rnacentral:tmRNA from 1 species
GGGGGUGACCAGGUUUCGACAGGGUAAGGAUAAUAAUACGUGCAAGGCUGUGUGAGUGAGGUCACAGUAAAAACACUCAAAACUAUAAAUGCCAAUGAUGACAUUGAAAUUUUCGAGGACUUUGCGCUUGCCGCAUAGUUCUUGAGGAGGUUUCCAGAUACCUUCUUAACCGAACAUCUGGAUUUGUUAUAUUUGAUACUAUAUUUGAUACUUAAUAGCUGUCUUGUGCUAGAACAAGACUAACCUUGUGAACGACGUAUUAUUUGAGAUGUUCUGGACGCGG